AUUGAACGCUGGCGGCAUGCCUUACACAUGCAAGUCGAACGGCAGCACGGGAGCAAUCCUGGUGGCGAGUGGCGAACGGGUGAGUAAUAUAUCGGAACGUGCCCGGUCGUGGGGGAUAACGUAGCGAAAGCUACACUAAUACCGCAUACGAUCUACGGAUGAAAGCGGGGGAUCGCAAGACCUCGCGCGAUUGGAGCGGCCGAUAUCAGAUUAGGUAGUUGGUGAGGUAAAGGCUCACCAAGCCGACGAUCUGUAGCUGGUCUGAGAGGACGACCAGCCACACUGGGACUGGAGACACGGCCCAGACUCCUACGGGAGGACAGCAGUGGGGAAUUUUGGACAAUGGGCGCAAGCCUGAUCCAGCAAUGCCGCGUGCAGGA
rnacentral:rRNA from 1 species